CCUACGGGGUGCAGCAGUGGGGGAUAUUGCACAAUGGGGGAAACCCUGAUGCAGCGACGCCGCGUGGGUGAAGAAGCGCCUCGGCGCGUAAAGCCCUGUCAGCAGGGAAGAAAAUGACGGUACCUGAAGAAGAAGCCCCGGCUAACUACGUGCCAGCAGCCGCGGUAAUACGUAGGGGGCAAGCGUUAUCCGGAUUCACUGGGUGUAAAGGGGGCGCAGACGGCGAUGCAAGCCAGGAGUGAAAGCCCGGGGCCCAACCCCGGUACUGAUCUUGGAACUGCGUGGCUAGAGUGCAGGAGGGGCAGGCGGAAUUCCUGGGGUAGCGGUGAAAUGCGUAGAUAUCAGGAGGAACACCGGUGGCGAAGGCGGCCUGCUGGACUGCAACUGACGUUGAGGCCCGAAAGCGUGGGGAGCAAACAGGAUUAGAUACCCUGGUAGUC
rnacentral:rRNA from 1 species